CAGUAGCCACGGGAACACGGAGGGUGCAAGCGUUAAUCGGAAUUACUGGGCGUAAAGCGCACGCAGGCGGUCUGACAAGUCAGAUGUGAAAUCCCCGGGCUUAACCUGGGAACUGCAUUUGAAACUGUCAGGCUGGAGUCUUGUAGAGGGGGGUGGAAUUCCAGGUGUAGCGGUGAAAUGCGUAGAGAUCUGGAGGAAUACCGGUGGCGAAGGCGGCCCCCUGGACAAAGACUGACGCUCAGGUGCGAAAGCGUGGGGAGCAAACAGGAUUAGAUACCCGAGUAGUCCCUGUCUCUUAUAC
rnacentral:rRNA from 1 species